ACUUUGCGAGUCCCCUAUGAAUCUGCAGGUAAAGGAGGAUUCAAACGGGCCAAGCUUCGGUUCACCGCAGUAACUGAGCGCACCAGAGUCAGGUUCUUGAGCACAUACUACCACAUGAAGAGUGAUCACUCUGGCUCCUUGUGUGGUCCUGUGGUUGAUGAUGUGAGAUUAGUCGGAGUUCGCUAUCCAUAAAUUCCAUAGAUCAAUUAAUUACUAGUAAUAUAGAAGCUAUGAUGGUUAUUACUUUAUUUGCUUCGCCUUUUCUUUCUUCUUACAGCAUUGCUUAUGCGAGGGAAUCAGUUACUAUUCCAUGUAAUGUUACUAUAGCAGACAUGUUCCUUUCUCCAUAUAGCAAAAGAAAUUAGAAGGUUUAAAUCAUUUAGUCUUCGUUGUCAUAUCUUACAUGUACCUACAAAAUUUCAAGAAAUCAAAUAAAAUUACCUCCAUCAAUCUGCUCUCGCUGUCAAUAUUAAAUUAGAUCAAUAAAAAUUCUAUCUUCCUUAUUUUUUAAUAUAUAGGUAAUCCAAACUGGCAAACUCUAUCUUAGACUCCAAAGAAGAGAUGACUCUAAACAAAUCAUUGCCACAUACUAAACAAAGUACGGUUAAAAUAUCAAGCAAGUGGCACACACAUUUUUCCUUACUCUUUAUCCAUUCUAAAUUGCUAUUCCAGUCUGCUAUAUCUUAUCGGAUAAUGCAAGUUAACUCCAAUUUAUUGUCAUCUAAAACUGAAACUCACUUGAUUUGGUCCAAAAUUCACUAAGAGAAGAAAUUUAAUUACUUAUUUCUAUAGAUUACCUAAGUCAUAAGACAUCCAUUAUCAAAGCCGGCAGCUGCUUCAUUAGCAGAAGGCUGUGGAACUCGAUCACUCAGUUUUCUGGGUUGAGUGAACAUCUAACCUUCAUCAUUAGCCUCAUCCUCAAUUUCUGCCACCAUGGCCUUAGUUUCUUCUUCAAUUCCCUAAUGUAUAUGCCAUUUCAACAAGAUCACAACAGAAAUUAGCGACUUUAAGUGGCAAUAUCCACACUCUUGGUGACCUUGAUGAAUCCUAUCCAGUAUAAGCAAUGUUUGCAAAGUUACAGAGCCCAAGGACUUCAGCACCUAUAAGGCUAUAACUGCAAAUGCUCUGAAAGUCUUUAAUCCCGGUAGAUCCAAGCAAGGAUGUAGGUUCAUGCUCUGUAACAAAUCAUAGAACAAUCUAGUUGGGCCAUGCAUAUUUCUAUAGCAAUAUAAUUUGCAAAGCAGCUAUGCCAAUGUAAAGGACAACAACACCACUACCUAAGUAGAAGCCAGAACUAUCCCGCUGCUUUAAAUGAUGAAUGGAGUGUACACUCUCUAUAUAUUAGCAAAACAAUAGCACUUGCUCUUCUUAACAAGCUACUCCUGCUUCGAAUAUAAAGGGAUUACUAAAAUUUUGGAAUAUGGAAAAAAAAAAAAAGGAAAAGAUAUAUCUCAUUCAAAUUUCAAACUGAACUUCCGAUAUAUGUGUCACAGUACUAAUCCAAGGAAGGAGGAUACUCAAAAAAAUCAAACAAGGAUUCCCACCAUUUCACUCAUAGCAAGGGUUCCGAAAUCUUUUUAUUAAUCUAAUUAUAAUGGAUUGUUAAAAAACUUUGUAGGCACAAGGCCAAAAAAAAUUCAAGAAUAUUUUACCGUGUUCGAAAGCUGAAGUCGUCUCUCCAGCAUGUUGCUUCGGCAACUACAGAGUUGAUCCAUCCAAAUCCUGAACUGAAAAAUUAAAGAGAAUCAAAUUUUGGCAAAAGUGAAACCUGGACUCUCAAUCAGAUUCGGGUCAAUUUUAAUAACCCGACAACUCCUUAAACAUGGACCGAAUUGCUACACUGGGG
rnacentral:lncRNA from 1 species